CAGGUACUUGAAGAGUCUGGAGUAUCCAGUGGCAUGGGAGUAUCGCAGCAGAUGAAAGCUCGAUCAAAGAGUGCUUUCGCCAGGUCGUCGACGAGAUGAUGGAACGAAGCGUACUUUCGUGGCCGUCGUGUACCCGCAGGCCAUGGGAGCAGCGAGGAGAUUUCUGUGAACAUUCGUUUUCAAAGCUUACCGGGUUCCUUUUGACACUUCAAAGUCCACUCUAUGUCCUGUCUCCUUCGGGUCGUGGUAAAUCCUACUGAAUUUUUUAUACGA